AGUACAGUUAGUGCUGCCCACGUCAGUGCGCGCGACCUGAACAAACUUUAUAGACACAGUAAACCUGUGGGGUUGCAUGCCACGUCUUUGUACACGUUAAUCUCUCUCAAUUUCCUAGGUUAAAUCCUCUUGGCGUGCUUGACAGUUUGUGCAAGUUAUGUUAAAGGGGAGACGGCAAACCAGGGAGCGGGGUUUGGAGGGCCAGAAGGGUGGUGCGUUUAACAUUAUCCAGAAAUAACAUUGUAUGCCAUCUUAAUAUUUAAAGUCAACAAAGACCACAGGCUGUGGCUACAGAAUAGUUUAGAUAGGAGAAAUAUAUCGUAAACAGGACUUAAGUCCUAAUAAAUGAGAAAUUAAAUGAUAAACGCCCACCGUGAAACUGUCCCAUAGAAGAUUCUGGCUACUGUUCUUCCCCUCCUCAAACCCAUUAUCCAGAACUCCUCCGGGCGGCUCACCAUGCCCACCCCACACCCCGGGAAUUGAGACCGAUACAUCUAGAGGAGGGAGGAGGGGGCAGGAUCAUUCACUUUGGGGGAGGCCGGCUGCCAUAUCAUGAAGACAUUCAAGCAGCCUUUUGAGAGGUCCAUUUGGGAAGGAACUAAGGCCUCCUGCCCACAGUCAUGAGAUGCUAUCACCAACCACCUUGAACCGGCCCAAGCCUCACCACAAGAGCUACCCCUAUGACCUUUGCCUUCUUUUUUUCUUUUUUUUUUUUUUUUGAGGAAGAUUAGCCCUGAGCUAACUACUGCCAAUCCACCUCUUUUUGCUGAGGAAGCCUGGCCCUGAGCUAACAUCCGUGCCCAUCUUCCUCUACUUUCUAUGUGGGACGCCUACCACGUCAUGGCGUGCCAAGCUGUGCCAUGUCUGCACCCAGGAUCCGAACUGGCGAACCCCGG
rnacentral:lncRNA from 1 species